UACGAAGGGGGCUAGCGUUGUUCGGAAUCACUGGGCGUAAAGCGCGCGUAGGCGGCCCAUCAAGUCAGAGGUGAAAGCCCAAAGCUCAACUUUGGAACUGCCUUUGAAACUGUUGGGCUGGAGUGUUGGAGGGGAUAGCGGAAUUCCAAGUGUAGAGGUGAAAUUCGUAGAUACUUGGAGGAACACCGGUGGCGAAGGCGGCUAUCUGGACAACUACUGACGCUGAGGCGCGAAAGCGUGGGGAUCAAACAGG
rnacentral:rRNA from 1 species